AUUGACGCCCAAGUGGGACGCCAAGCGCAGGUCGUGCAAAUAGAGACAUACGAUGAUGAGGGUGAGGACAACCUGCAUUUGGACAGGUGUGGCGUGGAGGCGGUCCGGUACCUCUUGGCGGUGGGGAAGUAUCUGGAGCACUCGGUGCCGUCCCAGGCGCAGUAAGGGUCCCGGGCCAGGCAGCACUCGGCGCAGGCCUUCCCGUAGACCUCGCAGCGGUGCAGGGACAUCUGCGACACGCCCAGUGACGAGCCAAGAGACGAACACAGCAGCCUCUUGGAUCAAAGCUUUCAUUUUUCAUCAAUAUCAAGCGUCGUACCGCAGCCGAAGAAGCCCAAAUCACAAAGGAGGUACACAAUUAAUUGAUGAAUUGUCCAUCCAUCCAUCCAUCCAUUUUCUUAGCUGCUUAACCUCACAAGGGUUGCGGGGAGUGCUGGAGCCUAUCCCAGCUGCCAA